UACGUAGGGUGCGAGCGUUGUCCGGAAUUAUUGGGCGUAAAGAGCUCGUAGGCGGUGUGUCACGUCGGCCGUGAAAACCUGCAGCUUAACUGUGGGCGUGCGGUCGAUACGGGCAUCACUGGAGUUCGGCAGGGGAGACUGGAAUUCCUGGUGUAGCAGUGAAAUGCGCAGAUAUCAGGAGGAACACCGGUGGCGAAGGCGGGUCUCUGGGCCGAUACUGACGCUGAGGAGCGAAAGCGUGGGGAGCAAACAGG
rnacentral:rRNA from 1 species